UAAUACUAGCGGUCCAAGUCGCAGCCAUUUUUAUUGGGUCUAAAACAUCCGUAGCUUGUUUGAAAAGUUUCUUGUGAAAUCUUAUUUCUUAAAAAUAGGACGUGCAAGAAGUACUAUUAAACUAGAGACUGGAAGACGUAGGAAGUACGGUUAAAGUAGCGGUAAAAUGUAUUAAUCUUAAUCGGACUCACAAUAGCGAAGGCAUCCUACGAGGACAGUUCUGACAGUAAGGGAUGAAGGCUAGGGGCGCAAAACGGAUUAGAUACCCGUGUAGUCCUAGCAGUAAACACUGUACACUAAACAUUAGUACCUCUUCGAGAGGUAUUGGUGCUGAAGGGAAGCCGAGAGUGUGCUACCUGGGAAGUAUAGUCGCAAGGCUG
rnacentral:rRNA from 1 species